GCGCCUAACACAUGCAAGUCGAACGAGCGAGAGAGAGCUUGCUUUCUCGAGCGAGUGGCGAACGGGUGAGUAACGCGUGAGGAACCUGCCUCAAAGAGGGGGACAACAGUUGGAAACGACUGCUAAUACCGCAUAAGCCCACGACCCGGCAUCGGGUAGAGGGAAAAGGAGCAAUCCGCUUUGAGAUGGCCUCGCGUCCGAUUAGCUAGUUGGUGAGGUAACGGCCCACCAAGGCGACGAUCGGUAGCCGGACUGAGAGGUUGAACGGCCACAUUGGGACUGAGACACGGCCCAGACUCCUACGGGAGGCAGCAGUGGGGAAUAUUGCACAAUGGGGGAAACCCUGAUGCAGCGACGCCGCGUGGAGGAAGAAGGUCUUCGGAUUGUAAACUCCUGUUGUUGAGGAAGAUAAUGACGGUACUCAACAAGGAAGUGACGGCUAACUACGUGCCAGCAGCCGCGGUAAAACGUAGGUCACAAGCGUUGUCCGGAAUUACUGGGUGUAAAGGGAGCGCAGGCGGGAAGGCAAGUUGGAAGUGAAAUCCAUGGGCUCAACCCAUGAACUGCUUUCAAAACUGUUUUUCUUGAGUAGUGCAGAGGUAGGCGGAAUUCCCGGUGUAGCGGUGGAAUGCGUAGAUAUCGGGAGGAACACCAGUGGCGAAGGCGGCCUACUGGGCACCAACUGACGCUGAGGCUGAAAGUGUGGGUAGCAAACAGGAUU
rnacentral:rRNA from 1 species